CACCUCAAAAACCACGUGCGGAGGGUCACACUCGGGGCUCAGGACAAAUUCCGGCUCAUCCACCUGGCCGUCGAGGAGCUAAGAGGUCCCGCUGGGCUGGACGAGAGUGGAGUGAGCCUCUUCAAAAGACCUGAGGCCAUUGAUGAGAUGUGGGCAAGCCAGCAGUGACACCUGGAGUGCAUCCAGGAUCCACCAGGCCUGAUCAUGUACAGGUUGUUGCGUACCACAGACAUCACCAAUGUGGACGUGCCCUUCUACAAAUGUCUGCAUGGAAGCAACAUCCUGGAAGGAUUCCACAAAACUCUUCCACACAUGAUUCCAGUUACACAGACAGAACACCAACUGGCCCCAGAUACUGAAGGAGAAGCCUUGCUAGCUAGCUAGUUUGGAAGUGUUGGUAAGUUUGGUUUAUUUUAUGUAUUUCAUGCUAACUUUUAUCAUAAUGUUUCAUGAUUAUACGCUCAAGUGUAACGUUACUACAACAUCGUUCUUUUUUAUAGUGUGGGGUGCACUGGGCAUGCUAACGUUGCGAUAUCCUCACACAGAGUCAUUUUCUAGCUAAACUUGUGACUUUAGUGUGGAUAGCAAGCUAUCCUCUGAACAUAUUGUUUUUUUUUCU